GUAGAUUACUGAUAGCCGUUAGAUCUAGGGCUGGUAUAUAUAGAUAAUUUUGGCUAGGAUUUCUCAUUUGGUCUCUCUUUUUUCCCGUCUUCUCUCUGAGAAAGAGAAGAAGAACAUGAACUCCAUUAGAGUUACAGCCAGCCUUACAGGGAAGAUUUCUUCUCUUCUCCAUACUUCAACUCCACGAACUCCAUAUUUCACUCUCGAUCCAGAAGAAUAAGAAGAAAAAAUCAGUGAUUAAAUCGUUUCCCUCGGAAAAGAUUCAAGGAACAGUCAAUCCAACUCAGAAAUUGUUAACCAAGGGUUAUCUUGCUUAGUUGUUGAAGCAUGUUAUUGGACUAGAGACAAGACAGCUAGUUGCUCUUACUGAGUGAUCAAUCAUGGAUGCAUCAAUUCCUAGGGUUCGGAACAUAAUGUGGCGCCUUUUCACUAGGAGAAAUGUUGCAUAAGCCACUUGCAAUUAUUGUGGACUGACAUUUAGGACUCACAACUGCAAAAAUGGAACAUCAGCAUUGUGAAAGCACUUUAAGAGAUGCACCCACAUUCCUAAUCAUAACAGAGCUCACAUAAAUAAUGCUUAGAAAUUAUGCUUAGUGGUUUAUGUGUAAUGACUAAUGUGUACUGCAGUGUAAUAUGUAAUGGCAGUAAUGCAGCUUUACUAUUUCGUAUUAAGUAAACCAGUUUGAACUUUGAUGUCUUUAAUAUUUAUGAACAAUGUCUUUAAUGUUUAUGAACUUUUAUA